rnacentral:rRNA from 1 species
GAGUUUGAUCUUGGCUCAGGACGAACGCUAGCGGCGCACCUAACGAAUGCGAGUCGAGCGAGGUGCAUUCAUCCGAGCACCUUCGGGUGCUCACCGGAUGCACCUAGCGGCAAAACGGGUGAGUAACACGUGGGGCAACCCUGCCCCCAGGUGGGGGAUAGCCGGGGGAACCCCGGGUAAUCCCGCAUAAACUGGCCCGCCGCAUGGCGAGGUCAGC